AAGGACCAUCAUAGCAUCACAGAAUGAAAUAAUCAUCUCAUACAUUUUCAGUAUAUGAUAGAUAUUAACUCCAGAAAUGCUGAUUUUAUGUUGCCCUGUUUAUUUAACAAAUGUUUCCCAUUUAGUUGUAGUACUUGCUUUCAAAAUUGCACUGAUUUAUCUAAAAAAGUAAAAUGAUAUGAAUGAACCCUUAUGAUGCAUUAAAAUUUCAUUGUAGCUGGGAGCGGUGGUGUGCACCUGUAGUCACAGCUAUUAAAGACGCUGAGGCAGGAGGAUCUUGAGGCAAAGAGUUCAAGUCCAACCUGAGCAAUAUAGCAAGACUUGGUCUCUAAAAGGAAAACAAAGUUUCAUUGAUUUGGUUGUGUCUGCACCUGCAUUUUCCACUGAACUAUUAAAAGAGCAAAGAAGGAAAACAAAACAAAGUAGCAAGUGACACCAAAGGAAGGAAUCAGACCUCCACUGGGGUAAAGGUCAACCCUGAGCUACGAGUAAGUCAGGUGGUGUCUCUGUCCUCGUCUCUCUCCCCUUAUUUCCACACACCAUUUUUGCGGCUGGAAGCUGAGACAACUGUCCUGUGAAGUGCUAUUAUCAAUCUACACUGCAAUGAUUACUCUU